rnacentral:lncRNA from 1 species
CAGAGGAAGCACUCUUCUCCGGCUUCUUUAUUUCUCUCGCCUUCAUGCCUUUCUAGCGCCUUCUAAAAAAAAACUCAACCCUCGGACUGAUGCUCCAGUGUUUGUACACCCAAACCAGUCAGACGGCACCAGCAAUUAAACCAAUAUUGCUUUUUAAGAUCACCGUCUCUUAUUAAUUGACAUAUAAGUAAUCUUAAAAGAACACACAAACACACACACACAAAUGCUUGGCAGAAAGUAGAAUUCAUUUCGGAUAAGGGGUGGGAAAGAGGGGUCUCUCUCUCUUUCUCUCUCUUUCUCUCUCGCUCUCUGGCAGCCGCCUGCAUUGUUGGCAGGAGCGUUCAGAAUAAAAACAGCAACAGCAAUAGGAGAGAAAAAAGUGAAAUGAUCCGUAGGGCUGAAAGUCUUUGCCCUUUCUUAAUUACGUCGCGUCCAGUAUCCUUUUUUCCUUUUUUUCUUCCUUCUUCUUCAUCUUCUUCUUCCUCCUCCUUUUUUGAAGACUUUAUGAAGUGGUAAUUAGCCAGAAGAGAAUAAAAACAGCUGAUUUGGACAGGACUGCUGCAGUCUGGAGCGAGAUGGCUAACAGGAAGGUUGUUUCACUCCUCGGAUUCCUCCUCCUCGCGCUCCUUCACCCUUCGCUCGAGGGAGGUGUGUAUGUCCCUGGUGGAGGACAGGGUACUCCUACCUUCCCAGGAUAUGGUAGCCUUGGUGCAGGUGGGUUUGGACCUGGAGUUGGAGCAGGGGCUGGGGCCAAGCCACCUAAACCUGGAUAUGGUGGUCUUGUUCCUGGAGGGGCAGGGAUUGGAGGAGCUGGGACAGGGUACGGUGUGAAGCCUCCCAAACCAGGGUAUGGUGGUGUUGGAGGCCUUGGUCCCGGGGGUGUCGGUGCUGGAGGAGGGGUUGGAACAGGUACACCCCAAGGCUCACCUAAAUUCCCUAUACUAUGAUAUGUCUGUGACCUCUUGCUCGGAAACGCGUUGCUCAUUCUCAAUUUCUUCUCAACCUCAUACAGGAGCUGGUGGGAAGCCUCCAAAGCCAGGCAAGAUCUCUUCAAUGCCUUAUUGUUCAUUCAACAGAUAAGGCAUCUAUUGUCAUGUAUUCUUUUCUUCAUCUAAGCCUGGUGAACCCAUCUGUGCAGAGAAUAUCUGAAACAUUAGGACAUGUGGUAAUAUUGAUUUGGCUGGUAUGGCCAAGUGAGAGACACAGAUUCUUAUGCAGGUAAAUAAAUCGCGACAUUUAUUAGAGUAGCUUAUUUCA